rnacentral:rRNA from 1 species
UACGAAGGGGGCUAGCGUUGCUCGGAAUCACUGGGCGUAAAGGGUGCGUAGGCGGGUCUUUAAGUCAGGGGUGAAAUCCUGGAGCUCAACUCCAGAACUGCCUUUGAUACUGAGGAUCUUGAGUUCGGGAGAGGUGGAGUGGAACUGCGAGUGUAGAGGUGAAAAUUCGUAGAUAUUCGCAAGAACACCAGUGGCGAAGGCG